rnacentral:ncRNA from 1 species
AUAAAACCGUUGAGCAAGAGAAGUACGAAGGAUCGGGUAUAUCCAGAGAGCUGUAAAUGGUGUGAUGCAGCAGUACAGAUUUUUCCGAAUGGACUUGCGAGGGCAGCUUGAAACUGUGAUACAGGAGUAGACGCUGACGGGAACCCUGUCCGUUAUCAGUGGGGUGCAUAUGAUGGUAUGCAAAAUGAGUGGGCGGUUUUUAUCGUCAAUUUGGGUGGUAACGCAGAAGUUAUAAGCUUUUGUCCCUUUA